AAAAUGAAACUGCGAACGGCUCAUUAAAUCAGCUUCCACUUAUCGGGCGCACAGUUACCCAUUUACUUGGAUAACUGUGGUAAUUCUAGAGCUAAUACAUGCCCUGGUUAAUCGGCUCGCAAGGGCCGAUUGCACUUAUUAGACCAAAAUCAACCGCUCGGGCAACCGGGUGCUGAGAUUGGUGACUCUGGAUAAUUUUACUAGAUCGCACGGCCUUUUGCGUCGGCGACUCGCCCGAUUGGUGUCUGCCCUAUCACACUAGAUGGUAGGUUAAUAGCCUACCAUGGUGAUAACGGGUAACGGGGAAUCUGGGUUCGAUUCCGGAGAGGGAGCCUGAGAAAUAGCUACCACAUCCAAGGAAGGCAGCAGGCGCGCAAAUUACCCACUACUGAAACAGUGAGGUAGUGACAAUAAAUAACGAUGCGGGACUCAAUCGAGGCCCCGUAAUCGGAAUGAGUACACUUUAAAUCCUUUAACGAGGAUCAAUUGGAGGGCAAGUCUGGUGCCAGCAGCCGCGGUAAUUCCAGCUCCAAUAGCGUAUAU
rnacentral:rRNA from 1 species